UACAGAGGGGGCAAGCGUUGCUCGGAAUCACUGGGCGUAAAGCGCACGUAGGCGGAUCUUUAAGUCAGGGGUGAAAUCCUGGAGCUCAACUCCAGAACUGCCUUUGAUACUGGGGAUCUCGAGUCCGGGAGAGGUGAGUGGAACUCCGAGUGUAGAGGUGAAAUUCGUAGAUAUUCGGAAGAACACCAGUGGCGAAGGCGGCUCACUGGCCCGGUACUGACGCUGAGGUGCGAAAGCGUGGGGAGCAAACAGG
rnacentral:rRNA from 1 species